rnacentral:rRNA from 1 species
AGCAGCCGCGGUAAUUCCAGCUCCAAUAGCGUAUAUUAAAGUUGUUGCAGUUAAAAAGCUCGUAGUUGAAUUUCGGGAUCAAUACGUCUGUCGUGCCUUUGGUACGUACGGGUGUAAUUGGUUUCUACCUUCUGGGGAUCCUUGAUGUCAUUAAUUUGGUGUCUUGGGGAAUCAGGACUGUUACCUUGAAAAAAUUAGAGUGUUUAAAGCAGGCAUACGCUUGAAUACAUUAGCAUGGAAUAAUGAAAUAGGACGUUCGAUUCUAUUUUGUUGGUUUCUAGGAUCGACGUAAUGAUUAAUAGGGAUAGUUGGGGGCAUUAGUAUUCAAUUGUCAGAGGUGAAAUUCUUGGAUUUAUUGAAGACUAACUACUGCGAAAGCAUUUGCCAAGGAUGUUUUCAUUAAUCAAGAACGAAGGUUAGGGGAUCGAAGACGAUCAGAUACCGUCGUAG